rnacentral:rRNA from 1 species
UACGGAGGGGGCUAGCGUUGUUCGGAAUUACUGGGCGUAAAGCGCGCGUAGGCGGCUUUGUAAGUUAGAGGUGAAAGCCCGGAGCUCAACUCCGGAACUGCCUUUAAGACUGCAUCGCUAGAACGUCGGAGAGGUAAGUGGAAUUCCGAGUGUAGAGGUGAAAUUCGUAGAUAUUCGGAGGAACACCGGUGGCGAAGGCGGCUUCCUGGACCGACACUGACGCUGAGGCGCGAAAGCUAGGGGAGCAAACGGG